rnacentral:rRNA from 1 species
GACGAACGCUGGCGGCGUGCUUAACACAUGCAAGUCGAACGGAAAGGCCCUGCGCUUGUUGGGUGCUCGAUUGGCGAACGGGUGAGUAACACGUGUGUAACCUGCCCUUGACUUUGGGAUAUCUUCAGGAAACUGGGGCUCUUAUCGCAUAGGAGCUCCUGCUGCAUGUUGGUGGUUGGAAAGUUUCGGCGGUUGUGGAUGGACUCGCGGCUUAUCGGCUUGUUGGUGGGGUAGUGGCUUACCAAGCCUGUGACGGAUAGCCGGCCUGAGAGGGGUAACGGGCACAAUGGGACUGAGAUAGGGCGCAGACGGCUACGGGAGGCAGUAGUGGAGAACUUGGCGGAACGGGCGGGAGCGAGAGGCGGAAGUGCUGGGUGCGGGAUGCCGGGCUACGGGUUGUAAACCGAUUUCGCAUGUGACGAAGCGUGAGUGACGGUAAUGGGUAAAGAAGCACCGGCUAACUACGUG